GAGUUUGAUCGUGGCUCAGAUUGAACGCUGGCGGCAUGCCUUACACAUGCAAGUCGAACGGCAGCACGGGAGCUUGCUCCUGGUGGCGAGUGGCGAACGGGUGAGUAAUGCAUCGGAACGUAUCCUGGAGUGGGGGAUAACGUAGCGAAAGUUACGCUAAUACCGCAUAUUCUGUGAGCAGGAAAGCGGGGGACCUUCGGGCCUCGCGCUCUUGGAGCGGCCGAUGUCGGAUUAGCUAGUUGGUGAGGUAAAGGCUCACCAAGGCGACGAUCCGUAGCAGGUCUGAGAGGAUGAUCUGCCACACUGGAACUGAGACACGGUCCAGACUCCUACGGGAGGCAGCAGUGGGAAUUUUGGACAAUGGGGGCAACCCUGAUCCAGCCAUGCCGCGUGAGUGAAGAAGGCCUCGGUG
rnacentral:rRNA from 1 species